rnacentral:lncRNA from 1 species
CCUGACCCGGGGGGCUGGGGGCCUGAGCAGUGGGAAGCCCAAGUCUGAGACCCCAGAAAACCCCCUCACAUAAUAAAUCCCACGUCCUAAGUGAACCCCAGAAGGCUGGCUAAGACCCAGGAUGUCCCCCUGUAAGGUGCCAGGUGUCCAGUCACCCCACCGGGCCCCCUCCUUUCUCCCAUUCGGUGAUAAAUGGUGUCCGCUGUGAGGGCACACGGGUUUAACUUGUGAGUGGGGCUGAGAGGUCAUCAGGUGGUACCUGCUUCCCCAGGAGUGGGCUCAUCAUUCAUUUUCUGAGGUGCCUUCAUGCCACAAACGCUGUCCAUUCGCAUCCACAGAGGGCCUGUGAAGGGAGGCCCCCUCUGACAGACAGACAGACAGACAGACAGACACUGUUUUGCCAGCACCUCCCGUUAACACUCAGAUCUCUGCCGGCGCUGCCUGAGCCUGACAACUCUUCACAGCCCUGCUUGUUCCAAAGGUGAUCAAAAGGGCAGCAAGAAGUAAAACGGGCAACGUUGCCAGGCCAGGAAAACACCUGGACCCUGUUUUUUAAAACCCUUUGCUCUGCUGAUAAUUUGCCCCAAGUGCUCAGCCGAGGCGUUUCAAGGGCAGGUAACCAAGAACAUGAGAAUUUUUCCCCUUUGAUCCAUCAAAGCACUGGACCUAGAAAGCCAUUUCACAUCCAGAAGCCUGAACCCUCUUGGAACCACCAUCUUGGAAACUGCUGGUAUUUCAUGGAAAGCAAAUAAAUUAAAGG